AGAGUUUGAUCAUGGCUCAGAUUGAACGCUGGCGGUAGGCUUAACACAUGCAAGUCGUGCGAGAAAGUAUCUUCGGAUAUGAGUAGAGCGGCGGACGGGUGAGUAACGCGUAGGAAUCUACCUAGUAGAAGGGGAUAGCCCGAGGAAACUCGGAUUAAUACCGUAUACCUCCUUAGGGAGAAAGAGGGCCUCUCUUGAUGCUCUCGCUAUUAGAUGAGCCUGCGUAAGAUUAGCUUGUUGGUGAGGUAAUGGCUCACCAAGGCUACGAUCUUUAGCUGGUCUGAGAGGACGAUCAGCCACAUUGGGACUGAGACACGGCCCAGACUCCUACGGGAGGCAGCAGUGGGGAAUAUUGGACAAUGGGCGCAAGCCUGAUCCAGCCAUACCGCGUGUGUGAAGAAGGCCUUCGGGUUGUAAAGCACUUUAAGCAGGGAGAAAAAGUUAUAAGUUAAUACCUUAUAACCGUGAUGUUACCUGCAGAAUAAGCACCGGCUAAUUCCGUGCCAGCAGCCGCGGUAAUACGGAAGGUGCAAGCGUUAAUCGGAAUUACUGGGCGUAAAGCGCGCGUAGGUGGUUUGUUAAGUUGGAUGUGAAAGCCCUGGGCUCAACCUAGGAACUGCAUCCAAAACUAACUCACUAGAGUACGAUAGAGGGAGGUAGAAUUCAUAGUGUAGCGGUGGAAUGCGUAGAUAUUAUGAAGAAUACCGGUGGCAAG
rnacentral:rRNA from 1 species